GACGGUGACGGCGACGGCGACGGAGACGACGGUGGAGGUGACGAGGGCUCAGCAAGGGGAGUGACGAGGCGAUUCGAGGGUGACGAGGCGGUCGGCAAGGGGCGGGACGUGGGCUCGGCGACGGCGACGGCGACGGAGAUGACGGUGGGAGUGGGCUCGGCGGCGGCGGCGGGGGAGAGGAGGAUGGGUCGCGGGCGGUGGAGAGGAGGGUGAGGAGGGAGGCAACAGUGAAGAAGGAGGGUGAGGAGGGAGGCGACGGUCCGAUCCGCCUCUUUUUUUUCGGCGAGAAAAAAAAAAAGAACGACAGAAACGAAAAGGAGAGAGAAAGAGGAAAGAGAAAAAGUAAUAAGGGUAUUUUGGUCAGUUUGCUGAAAAAGCGGAUCGAAUCUGCAAAAACGAAAAAGGUGGCCCGAUUUUGCAAAAGUCCAAAAUAAGUGGAUUUUUUAUGCAAAUUGGCCAAUUAUGUUCUUUAUUUAUUUAUUUAAUUUCAUAAAAUAUGGUUAAAUGUGGUUAGUACACGUGUCGCGUUUUCAUUGGUGGUUGAAAAGAAUUUAGAGCUAGUUCGACGAGGCGGCAUAUGCUUUGUGCGGUCAAAAAGUUAGGUCUAAAAUAUACAUCGUAGACUAUAUCAUAUUUAGUUAAUUCGGAUUCAGCAAAAAUUCGAUAUGAAUAUAAUUCGGAUAAAAUUUAUUUUUUAAUUUUUAAAUUCGUUAAAAAAUACAGCUAAAAAAUGGAUUCACCAAUUAUUUGGAUAUGCGAUUUA
rnacentral:lncRNA from 1 species